rnacentral:lncRNA from 1 species
CCUCAGGGGCGUGAGUCGUGGUCUCAGGGGUCCUCGGCGCCUGGGUCGAACGUAGUUUGUGGGAGCGCCAUCCAUAUGGGUGGCUGAGUUGGUUGAAGCUCCUGUAACAGUUCUGCAGCGGACUUCAUCGGAUGCCAACUCUCUGAGUGUCUUUCUGCGUCUAGGGAAUUCCCACUCUGUGAAUCUUGGUGAGAGGUCAGAGCCCACUUCCCACUCUCAAAUUCUAGAUUGCCAUAUCCUUGCUUUCUGAACCUCAUUCCAGCUAGGGUACAGAACAUGCCUAGGAUUACCAAUCAGAGGACUCUUCCCACGCCUGCUGUGU